rnacentral:lncRNA from 1 species
CAAGCAUCUCACAGAUCCGGCAAGCCUCGAAGCCGGUACCUCUGCAGUCCCUGCGUGCAGCUGCCUGGAUGGAUGGAGGUCUGGCUACACGUGAUACUAUUCUAGGAUUCCCAGGAGCACCUUCUGUCCCUUAUGCCAAGAGCAUCUGCACCGUCACCCCCUCCAGUGUGCCUCUUCUUCCUGGUGUUAUCCUACAUAAGACCCUUCAUUAUAACAAAGAGAACUCUGCCAAAGCUCCAGGCUCCGUACAGGUGAAUGUGCGCGAGGCUAGAACGUGCCAGCACCACCCUGGCCACGGUUCCCUGUAGCUCAGCCUUCCGGAGCACAGAGAAGGCCUAAGGAAGGCAGGAAGGCGGGGGAGGAAGUUGAGAACAAGCUGCUGAGGUACUCCAGGGUAGUGAGUUCAUCUCUUACUGAACACUGGCCUGGAAGAACCGCCAGAUUCUCAGAAACUGGCCUAAGGGAGAGCACACUCAAAAGUGCCGAGUCUCCAAGGAAGAAGAGAGCUCUGAAUGGCAGCCAGAAGGGACAGAUAUCCCCACCAUCAAAGUGGUCAAGACACUGAGUACAGAGUGGGAUCAUCAGAUCGGAAAUGCUUCACAUCCACAGAGCCGGGGCUGCUGGCUGAUCCCACAGCACAGUGUGAAGGACUAAGUACC